GAUGAACGCUGGCGGCGUGCCUAAUACAUGCAAGUCGAGCGAACGGACGAGAAGCUUGCUUUUCUGAUGUUAGCGGCGGACGGGUGAGUAACACGUGGAUAACCUACCUAUAAGACUGGGAUAACUUCGGGAAACCGGAGCUAAUACCGGAUAAUAUUUUGAACCGCAUGGUUCAAAAGUGAAAGACGGUCUUGCUGUCACUUAUAGAUGGAUCCGCGCUGCAUUAGCUAGUUGGUAAGGUAACGGCUUACCAAGGCAACGAUGCAUAGCCGACCUGAGAGGGUGAUCGGCCACACUGGAACUGAGACACGGUCCAGACUCCUACGGGGAGCAGCAGUAGGGAAUCUUCCGCAAUGGGCGAAAGCCUGACGGAGCAACGCCGCGUGAGUGAUGAAGGUCUUCGGAUCGUAAAACUCUGUUAUUAGGGAAGAACAUAUGUGUAAGUAACUGUUCACAUCUUGACGGUACCUAAUCAGAAAGCCACGGCUAACUACGUG
rnacentral:rRNA from 1 species